rnacentral:rRNA from 1 species
CCUACGGGAGGCAGUAGUGGGGGAUAUUGGACAAUGGGGGGAACCCUGAUCCAGCGACGCCGCGUGAGUGAAGAAGUAUUUCGGUAUGUAAAGCUCUGUCAGCAGGGAAGAAAGAAAUGACGGUACCUGACCAAGAAGCCCCGGCUAACUACGUGCCAGCAGCCGCGGUAAUACGUAGGGGGCAAGCGUUAUCCGGAAUUACUGGGUGUAAAGGGAGCGUAGACGGUUAAGUAAGUCUGGAGUGAAAGGCAGGGGCCCAACCCCGGGACUGCUCUGGAAACUAUUGAACUUGAGUGCAGGGGAGGUAAGCGGAAUUCCUAGUGUAGCGGUGAAAUGCGUAGAUAUUAGGAGGAACACCAGUGGCGAAGGCAGCUUACUGGACUGUAACUGACGUUGAGGCUCGAAAGCGUGGGGAGCAAACAGGAUUAGAUACCCUUGUAGUC